rnacentral:rRNA from 1 species
UACGUAGGGUGCGAGCGUUAAUCGGAAUUACUGGGCGUAAAGCGUGCGCAGGCGGUUCGGUAAGUCCGAUGUGAAAGCCCCGGGCUCAACCUGGGAAUGGCAUUGGAAACUGGCGGGCUGGAGUGUGGCAGAGGGGGGUGGAAUUCCGCGUGUAGCAGUGAAAUGCGUAGAGAUGCGGAGGAACACCGAUGGCGAAGGCAGCCCCCUGGGCUGACACUGACGCUCAGGCACGAAAGCGUGGGGAGCAAACAGG